rnacentral:rRNA from 2 species
AGAUUAAGUUAUUAAGGGCGCACGGUGGAUGCCUUGGCACUAGAAGCCGAUGAAGGACGUUACUAACGACGAUAUGCUUUGGGGAGCUGUAAGUAAGCUUUGAUCCAGAGAUUUCCGAAUGGGGAAACCCAGCAUGAGUUAUGUCAUGUUAUCGAUAUGUGAAUACAUAGCAUAUCA